rfam:Triticum aestivum genome assembly, contig: Triticum_aestivum_CS42_TGACv1_scaffold_406816_5BL
UAUGUACUCCCUCCGUCCGGAAAUAGUUGUCAUCAAAAUGGAUAAAAGGGGAUGUAUCUAGAUGUAUUUUAGUUCUAGAUACAUCUUCUAUUAUCCAUUUUGAUGACAAGUAUUUUUGGACGGAGGGAGUACUAG